GUGUCAGCAGCCGCGGUAAUACGGAGGAUCCGAGCGUUAUCCGGAUUUAUUGGGUUUAAAGGGUGCGUAGGCGGAAGAUUAAGUCAGUGGUGAAAGUUUGCAGCUUAACUGUAAAAUUGCCAUUGAUACUGGUUUUCUUGAGUACAGCUGAGGUAGGCGGAAUGUGGUGUGUAGCGGUGAAAUGCAUAGAUAUACCACAGAACACCGAUUGCGAAGGCAGCUUACUAAACUGUAACUGACGCUGAUGCACGAAAGCGUGGGGAUCAAACAGGAUUAGAAACCCCUGUAGUCC
rnacentral:rRNA from 1 species